rnacentral:piRNA from 1 species
CAGGAGUUCAAGACCAGCCUGGCCAACGUA